CAAAUUUGAAAUCUGGCUUCGGCCCGAGUUGUAAUUUGCAGAGGAUGCUUUUGGUGCGGUGCCUUCCGAGUUCCCUGGAACGGGACGCCACAGAGGGUGAGAGCCCCGUAUGGUCGGACACCAAUCCUGUGUAAAGCUCCUUCGACGAGUCGAGUAGUUUGGGAAUGCUGCUCUAAAUGGGAGGUAAAUCUCUUCUAAAGCUAAAUACCGGCCAGAGACCGAUAGCGCACAAGUAGAGUGAUCGAAAGAUGAAAAGCACCUUGAAAAGGGGGUUAAACAGUACGUGAAAUUGUUGAAAGGGAAGCACUUGUGACCAGACUUGGGCCGGGCGGCUCAUCAGGGGUUCUCCCCUGUGCAUUCCGCCCGGUACAGGCCAGCAUCGGUUCUUACCGGGGGAUAAGAACGGCAGGAACGUGGCUCCCUCUCGGGGGAGUGUUAUAGCCUGCCGUACGAUACCCUGGCGGGGACCGAGGUUCGCGCUUCCGCAAGGAUGCUGGCGUAAUGGUUACUAGUGACCCGUCUUGAAACACGGACCAAGGAGUCGUCCAUUAGAGCGAGCGUUUGGGUGUAAAACCCGCACGCGUAAUGAAAGUGAAAUUAGGUGAGAGCUUCGGCGCAUCAUCGACCGAUCCUGAUGUUCUCGGAUGGAUUUGAGUAAGAGUUUUAACGGACGGACCCGAAAGACAGUGAACUAUGCUUGUAUAGGGUGAAGCCAGAGGAAACU
rnacentral:rRNA from 1 species